rnacentral:rRNA from 1 species
AACGAACGCUGGCGGCAGGCUUAACACAUGCAAGUCGAACGGGUGUAGCAAUACAUCAGUGGCAGACGGGUGAGUAACACGUGGGAACCUUCCUAGGGGUACGGAACAACUCAGGGAAACUUGAGCUAAUACCGUAUACGUCCGCGAGGAGAAAGAUUUAUCGCCCUUAGACGGGCCCGCGUCGGAUUAGCUAGUUGGUGGGGUAACGGCCUACCAAGGCGACGAUCCGUAGCUGAUCUUAGAGGAUGAUCAGCCACACUGGGACUGAGACACGGCCCAGACUCCUACGGGAGGCAGAAGUGGGGAAGCUUGGACAAUGGGCGCAAGCCUGAUCCAGCCAUGCCGCGUGAGUGAAGAAGGUCUUCGGAUUGUAAAGCUCUUUUGCCAGGGACGAUAAUGACGGUACCUGGAGAAUAAGCCCCGGUAAACUUCGUGCCAGCAGCCGCAGUAA